rnacentral:rRNA from 1 species
GGUACCAACAGUUACUUGGAUAACUGUGGUAAUUCUAGAGCUAAUACAUGCAAACAGAGCCCCGACCACUCGUUGGAAGGGGUGCUUUUAUUAGAUCAAAACCAAUCAGGCUGUAACGGCUUGUUAGUCUUGGUGACUCUGAAUAACUUUUGGCUGAUCGCAUGGUCUUGUACCGGCGACGCAUCUUUCAAAUGUCUGACUUAUCACACUUUCGAUGGUAGGCUCUGCGCCUACUAUGGUUAUAACGGGUAACGGGGAAUCAGGGUUCGAUUCCGGAGUGGGAGCCUGAGAAACGGGUACCACAUC